CAAUUGCGAGUAAAUAUGUCAAGUGCAGGCGGUCGGCCCGAGAUUUAAAAAAAAAAAAGGAAAAAGUAUGAAAAUAAAAACACACACAGAAAGGCCGCAAAAAUGCUUUGGCCUUUUCGGUGCCUGCAUUUCCGGUUGCACUCAGUGGCCAACGGUUGCAGUGUAAAUUGGUCAACUAAAUUAUGCAGCAUCAGUUGCAGUUUGUGCAGUUCCAGUUGCAGCCGAGUCCUUUGUCCUUUGUUCCGCAACUCAUCCCCGAUUGAUUCUGACCAGGUCCCAGGACAAACCAUCGACACCAGGAGCAACAGCUGAGUGAAAUUUGCAUUCCAUAAAAUUUUAAAGCUAAAUAAAGUGUCGCCACCUCGGGUCGUGUUGCUGUUGGUUGCAUGUACUGCUGUUGCUGCUGCAUGUUGCUGCAAGUGCAACCGAUGUUGCUGCCUGUCUGCAAUGGAAAUUGAAUCGCAUACUUUUGUGGAGUUAGGAUGGC
ensembl:ncRNA lncRNA:CR44534 long non-coding RNA:CR44534